rnacentral:rRNA from 1 species
UUCCUACGGGGGGCUGCAGUGGGGAAUAUUGCGCAAUGGGCGAAAGCCUGACGCAGCGACGCCGCGUGUGGGAUGAAGGUCUUCGGAUUGUAAACCACUGUCGGGAGGGACGAAGCUCUGACGGUACCUCCAAAGGAAGCACCGGCUAACUCUGUGCCAGCAGCCGCGGUAAUACAGAGGGUGCGAGCGUUGUCCGGAAUCACUGGGCGUAAAGGGCGCGUAGGGGGCUUGAUAAGUAGGGGGUGAAAUCUCAUGGCUCAACUGUGAGGCUGCCUUGUAGACUGUCUGGCUUGAGCACAGUAGAGGCGAGUGGAAUUCCCGGUGUAGCGGUGGAAUGCGUAGAGAUCGGGAAGAACAUCGGUGGCGAAGGCGGCUCGCUGGGCUGUUGCUGACGCUGAUGCGCGAAAGCGUGGGGAGCAAACAGGAUUAGAUACCCGAGUAGUC